rnacentral:rRNA from 1 species
AGCUCCAAUAGCGUAUAUUUUUGUUGUUGCAGUUAAAAAGCUCGUAGUUGAAUUUCUGGUGGGAGGAUGUGGUGCAACGUAGUUGCUACUGGCAGCCUCCGGCCAUCCUUGGGUUUAGCCAUUCUGGCAUUAAGUUGUCGGGGUGGGGAUGCCCAUCGUUUACUGUGAAAAAAUUAGAGUGUUCAAAGCAGACUUAUGUCGUUGAAUAUAUUAGCAUGGAAUAAUAAGAUAGGACUACAGUGCUAUUUUGUUGGUUUGCGCACCGUGGUAAUGAUGAAUAGGGACAGUUGUGGGUAUUCGUAUUCACUUGUAAGAGGUGAAAUUCUUAGAUUAAGGGAAGACGAACAAAAGCGAAAGCAUUUACCAAGGAUGUUUUCA